AGAGUUGAUCAUGGCUCAGGAUGAACGCUAGCGACAGGCUUAACACAUGCAAGUCGAGGGGCAGCAGUAAAAGUAGCAAUACGUUGGUGGCGACCGGCGCACGGGUGAGUAACGCGUAUGCAACCUACCUAUCAGGAGGGGAAUAACCCGGCGAAAGUCGGACUAAUACCGCAUAAAACAGGGGCACCGCAUGGUGAUAUUUGUUAAAGAAAUUCGCUGAUAGAUGGGCAUGCGUUCCAUUAGGUAGUUGGUGAGGUAACGGCUCACCAAGCCGACGAUGGAUAGGGGAACUGAGAGGUUGGUCCCCCACACUGGUACUGAGACACGGACCAGACUCCUACGGGAGGCAGCAGUGAGGAAUAUUGGUCAAUGGGCGGGAGCCUGAACCAGCCAAGUCGCGUGAAGGAAGAAGGAUCUAUGGUUCGUAAACUUCUUUUGCAGGGGAAUAAAGUGCAGGACGUGUCCUGUUUUGUAUGUACCCUGAGAAUAAGGAUCGGCUAACUCCGUGCCAGCCGCAGC
rnacentral:rRNA from 1 species